UGCAAGUGUGGUAGCUGCUGCUGCUGCUCUGGGGCCUGUGGUACAUCGCAGCAGCGCUCUGCUGGUGAUGCGCCGCCGCCUGCCUCGGCGAGCCCAGCAGCUCCGGCGCCAUGAACCCGGCGUGGUCGCUGAACCAGUAAGGCACGUGCUGAAGAAGAAAUGCGUAAUAGGAUCGGUGCAGACAUGCAUUGAGAUGUCGAUCGAAAUGAACAGUUCAUAGGAAUGAAUAAUCUUACAUGUGGAAA